rnacentral:rRNA from 1 species
UACGUAGGAGACGAGCGUUGUCCGGAAUUACUGGGCGUAAAGCGCGUGUAGGCGGAUGGGCAAGUCUGCUGUGAAAGCUCCUGGCUUAACCGGGAGUGGUCGGUGGAAACUGCCAAUCUGGAGGACGGUAGAGGUAGGUAGAAUUCCCGGUGUAGUGGUGAAAUGCGUAGAGAUCGGGAGGAAUACCUGUGGCGAAGGCGGCCUACUGGGCCGGACCUGACGCUGAGACGCGAAGGCGUGGGGAGCGAACAGG